AUGGGGAAACCCAGUGUGUUUCGACACACUAUCAUUAACUGAAUCCAUAGGUUAAUGAGGCGAACCGGGGGAACUGAAACAUCUAAGUACCCCGAGGAAAAGAAAUCAACCGAGAUUCCCCCAGUAGCGGCGAGCGAACGGGGAGCAGCCCAGAGCCUGAAUCAGUGUGUGUGUUAGUGGAAGCGUCUGGAAAGGCGCGCGAUACAGGGUGACAGCCCCGUACACAAAAAUGCACAUAUUGUGAGCUCGAUGAGUAGGGCGGGACACGUGGUAUCCUGUCUGAAUAUGGGGGGACCAUCCUCCAAGGCUAAAUACUCCUGACUGACCGAUAGUGAACCAGUACCGUGAGGGAAAGGCGAAAAGAACCCCGGCGAGGGGAGUGAAAAAGAACCUGAAACCGUGUACGUACAAGCAGUGGGAGCACGCUUAGGCGUGUGACUGCGUACCUUUUGUAUAAUGGGUCAGCGACUUAUAUUCUGUAGCAAGGUUAACCGAAUAGGGGAGCCGAAGGGAAACCGAGUCUUAACUGGGCGUUAAGUUGCAGGGUAUAGACCCGAAACCCGGUGAUCUAGCCAUGGGCAGGUUGAAGGUUGGGUAACACUAACUGGAGGACCGAACCGACUAAUGUUGAAAAAUUAGCGGAUGACUUGUGGCUGGGGGUGAAAGGCCAAUCAAACCGGGAGAUAGCUGGUUCUCCCCGAAAGCUAUUUAGGUAGCGCCUCGUGAAUUCAUCUCCGGGGGUAGAGCACUGUUUCGGCAAGGGGGUCAUCCCGA
rnacentral:rRNA from 1 species